GCGUUCGGAGUGUAAAAGUUAGCACACUCGGCUCAUAUUCGAGAGGUUCAGUGUUCGAUUCCCGGCGAGAGCA
rnacentral:tRNA from 1 species